AUGGACUCUUCUUCCUCGUCGACGGCGUCGUCCUCUCAGGCGCAGCCCGACUUCGAUUACCUGUUCAAGCUCCUCCUCAUCGGCGACUCCGGCGUGGGGAAGAGCAGCCUCCUCCUCCGAUUCACCUCCGACUCCUUCGAGGACCUCUCCCCAACCAUCGGCGUGGACUUCAAGGUGAAGAUGGUUAACAUUGCCGGCAAGAAGCUCAAGCUCGCCGUCUGGGACACCGCUGGACAGGAACGGUUUAGGACCUUGACCAGCUCUUACUACAGAGGGGCACAAGGGAUCAUCAUGGUGUACGAUGUUACCCGCCGAGAAACAUUCACAAAUCUCUCUGACAUAUGGGCCAAGGAAAUUGACCUUUAUUCGACCAACCAAGACUGUAUAAAGAUGCUUGUCGGAAACAAAGUGGACAAGGAAAGUGAGAGGGCUGUCACCAAGAAGGAAGGCAUUGACUUUGCCAGGGAGUAUGGGUGUUUAUUUCUGGAAUGCAGUGCGAAAACCAAAGUGAAUGUGGAGCAGUGCUUUGAGGAGCUUGUGCUCAAGAUAUUGGACACGCCGAGCCUGUUGGCGGAUGCAUCCUCUGGGGCGAAGAAGAACAUCUUCAAGCAGAAGGCGCCAGAGGCUGAUGCUGCGGCGAGCGGCUGCUGUUGA
rnacentral:rRNA from 1 species